UGUACGUUUCUUGGCCGGUCGAACGGGGUCCCACUUACCCACAUACCCGCCAUGCCACAGCGGGCCAAGAGCGGUGCCCGGUUUACAGCCAGUGCCAGUAGCUCGUCCGAAGCUGCCUGGUGUCUCCCGUGGUCCUUCGGCACCCCACAUAUCAAACCGUCUCCAGCUUUGGCCAAAACCAGGAAAAGAAAAAGUAAAAGAAAGCUAAAAGGAAAAAUAGAUGCAAAAUU